CAAUGUAAUACGUGUUUGCACAGCGUUCCCUUUAAUUUAUUGCUUAGCGGUACUUCAUAAACACAUCUAGAGAUUUUUUCAUAUUUAUUUUUAUUUUAUUUUAUGGAGAUUAUGAGAAAAGGCUGAGAUAUGGGGGUGUUAUUUUCAAUUUAAACGUAUAGAGCAUUGCCAUUUACUAGAAAUUGUUAACAUGAAGAGGCCGUUGCUACGACGAUCUAAUUUACAUUCUUGUUUAAUUCAUUAUCAUUUAUCAUCCAACUCUAAUUAUUUUGCAAUCUGCAAUAUUGAUGAACAAGCUACUAAGUACUGUUUCAACGGCUUAUGAAUUAUAUCACAUCAAACAAUCAUGGUCUCAGACCUAUAAUGCAAAUAGCGUAUGCUUACAGAAUUGAAAUCGAAUAAAGUUUAGUAGGAAAUUAUACAAACUCAUAGCGUGUCUCAACUUUUAUUAUAAUUCAUUAUGGUACAAAACUAUUUUGAGUUAAGCAAAAGUUCAAUGGAUAAAAUUCCAAACGUUAGGUUUUUAAAAACGACAAGAGUAAGACAUCACAUUUAACAAUUUGCAUUUUGAAGAUGAACCAUUAAUCACUCUUAAUCAGCCCUUGGUUGUUUACGAACACUAUCUGAUUCACUGUUCCUGUCUUUAUAAAGUUCGCCAUCAUCAACCUCACGCAACCAUGGUGCCAAUAUGACAGGUGAUUCAGAACCUUUUUUAUCCAUCUUCACAACAAAGUCUUCGUUCCUCUUAUUCAAGUGGUAUGUUUUUUGCUUCCGGAGAGUGUAAGGUGAAGGUGACCUAGAUUCAUUAGACCUUUUUCUAGAUACCUUUGGUGAAUAUUGACGGUUGUAUGAUAAAGAGUCAUAAGAUCUUUUAUUCCUAGCAGGAGAGCGAGAAAUAGGGCGUGCAGCGGAGACGGAGAUCUAGAGUAUGAAACUGAACAUGACAUACUCAACCUUCUUCUGUAGGAGGGUGAGCGAGAAAAGGACCUGCCUCUGCUUGUAGAACCAGCGUAUGAACGUCUAUAACGUUGGCGCGAGCGAUACUUACGUGAAGCAGGUGAAGAAGAACGAGAACGAUAACCCUUAUCUUCAGAUUCAAUUAAUCUUCCCUCCGGCGUGUAAGAGCGUGAGCGACCCCUUGACAAUGAUGAUGACCUGGAAAGAUCAGAAUAAGAGUUACGGUUUGAUGACCGUUCUCUCCCACGAGGAGAUAAUUCUCUAUCUUUUCUAAUGUAUUUUUUAUGAUUUAUAUUAUUGAUAGGGGUUACACUGCGGGAGCGAGAAUAAGAACGGCUUUUCGAGUAUGACCGAGUUGACCGAGAAUAUGAUCUCCCACGUGAGUAUGUGGAAGAAUAAGAGGAACUAUAUGUUGAUCCUGUCUCGGAUCCAGAGCUAUAACCUUCGCUAUCUUGCUCCUUUGGCUCGCUUUUGGGCAUGGUAAGGAGGUACUCUCUCAUUUCUUCAGUUAAUGCACCCAAACCAAUAGAAGUAAAGUAAUUGAUAGAGAAACGAACGUUACGAGCUUCAUCGACUGGAAACAAGCCAUGUAAGUAAGGCACUAAAUUAGGAUCGUGUAAUCUUUCUACCAAGCUCUUAAGACCUAAAGCUUCCACUAUUUCCUGAAACAUUAUUUUUAAAAAUAUUCGAGAAGAAGCUGUGGUAUCGUCUUCGGUAAGACGU